AAUAAAGUGCCUGAUAAAAGGGUUAUUUUGAUAGAAUAAAUUAUAUAAUUUAAAAUUAUCUUUAUUA
rnacentral:tRNA from 5 species